rnacentral:rRNA from 1 species
AGAACGAACGCUGGCGGCAGGCUUAACACAUGCAAGUCGAACGCUCGUAGCAAUACGGGAGUGGCAGACGGGUGAGUAACGCGUGGGAACAUACCCUCCGGUUCGGAAUAGCUCAGGGAAACUUGGAUUAAUACCGGAUACGGCUGAGAGGCGAAAGAUUUAUCGCCGGAGGAUUGGCCCGCGUUCGAUUAGCUUGUUGGUGAGGUAACGGCUCACCAAGGCGACGAUCGAUAGCUGGUCUGAGAGGAUGAUCAGCCACAUUGGGACUGAGACACGGCCCAAACUCCUACGGGAGGCAGCAGUGGGGAAUAUUGGACAAUGGGCGCAAGCCUGAUCCAGCCAUGCCGCGUGAGUGAUGACGGCCUUAGGGUUGUAAAGCUCUUUCGCUCGGGACGAUAAUGACGGUACCGAGAUAAGAAGCCCCGGCUAACUUCGCGCCAGCAGCCGC